rnacentral:rRNA from 1 species
GAUGAACGCUGGCGGCGUGCCUAACACAUGCAAGUCGAACGGAAAGACGAGGAGGUUGGCCCCUUGACGUUCGCGGCGCGGGGGUGUGUAACAUGUGUAUAACCUACCUAUAUGACGGGGAUAAACUCGUGAAAACGGUGCCUAUAACGGAAUAUCUACUGAACCGCAUGGUUGGGUAGUGAAAGGCGGCUUUGCAGUGGCUGAUCGCAGGUUCCGCGCCGCAUUAGCUAGUUGGUAAGGUAACGGCUUACCUAGGCAACGAUGCGUAGCCGAGCUGAGAGGGUGAUCGGCCACACUGGAACUGAGACACGGUCCAGACUCCUACGGGAGGCAGCAGUAGGGAAUCUUGCGCAAUGGGCGCAAGCCUGACGCAGCCACGCCGCGUGUGUGAAGAAGGCCUUCGGGUUGUAAAGCUCUUUUAGUGGGGAAGAACAGAUUUGUGAUUAACCAUGCACUUAUUGACGGUACCUACUCAAGAAGCCCCGGCUAACUACGUG